GUAGAAUUUGUAAGCGUCUUAUAUAUAAAAUAUAAUAAGGCUAAACCUUUUAACCGGCUAUAAUAUUUUUUGGCGAUGAUUAGACUUUAGAUAUUAAGAGAAUUAAGUAUGUUAGGACUUGAAUAAUUUUAGUAGGGGUGAUCCUUUGGAAAAUGGAGCGCCAUAGUUGGUAUCGGAGCCAAUCACCAUCCGAAAAUGUGAGAUGAGUUUCGCCUAAGUAAGAGUUAUCAACGGAUAGAGCGCGGCUCCCAGCAAAGUGAGCACUUACUGUUUGUGAAUAUAUUUGAACUUAAUGAGAACGUCAAGACAUAAAAGAGGAGGAAUGUCACACUCCAAAUAUUUAAAAUAGUUCUAUAUUGUAGAAUAGUUUUAUAUAUAAAAUAUAAUAGAGUUAAAUAGCUUAAUACGGUUAUAUUAUUUUGGACGGUGUUUAGCUCCUAAAAAGUAAUAAAAGUUAAGUAAGUUAAGAUUAAAAUAUUAU
rnacentral:lncRNA from 1 species